rnacentral:tRNA from 1 species
AGGAAUAAAUUUAAGGACUUCUAAUCCCAAUAAAGUGAUAAUAUCAUUAUAUUCCUU